rnacentral:rRNA from 1 species
AGUGAACGCUGGCGGUAGGCCUAACACAUGCAAGUCGAACGGCAGCACAGUAAGAGCUUGCUCUUACGGGUGGCGAGUGGCGGACGGGUGAGGAAUACAUCGGAAUCUACUUUUUCGUGGGGGAUAACGUAGGGAAACUUACGCUAAUACCGCAUACGACCUACGGGUGAAAGCAGGGGAUCUUCGGACCUUGCGCGAUUGAAUGAGCCGAUGUCGGAUUAGCUAGUUGGCGGGGGAAAGGCCCACCAAGGCGACGGUCCGUAGCUGGUCUGAGAGGAUGGUCGGCCACACUGGAACGGAGACACGGUCCAGACUCCUACGGGAGGCAGCAGUGGGGAAUAUUGGACAAUGGGCGCAAGCCUGAUCCAGCCAUACCGCGUGGGUGAAGAAGGCCUUCGGGUUGUAAAGCCCUUUUGUUGGGAAAGAAAAGCAGCAGGUUAAUACCCCGCUGUUCUGACGGUACCCAAAGAAUAAGCACCGGCUAACUUCGUG